GUACGGACGUGGUAGGGGAGAUGCCUUGACCACGAAGCUGGUUUUUCCAGGGCCAGGCUUAUCCAUUGCACUCAGGUUAUUGUUCUUCUAGAAGUGUCCCUCCUGGUCAAGUCACUGCUC
ensembl:snRNA U1 U1 spliceosomal RNA